CCUACGGGAGGCAGCAGUGGGGAAUUUUGCGCAAUGGGCGAAAGCCUGACGCAGCGACGCCGCGUGGAGGAUGAAGGUCUUCGGAUUGUAAACUCCUUUUGCAGGGAAAGAUAAUGACGGUACCCUGCGAAUAAGCCACGGC
rnacentral:rRNA from 1 species